rnacentral:rRNA from 1 species
GACGAACGCUGGCGGCGUGCCUAAUACAUGCAAGUAGAACGCACAGUUUAUACCGUAGCUUGCUACACCAUAGACUGUGAGUUGCGAACGGGUGAGUAACGCGUAGGUAACCUGCCUGGUAGCGGGGGAUAACUAUUGGAAACGAUAGCUAAUACCGCAUAAUAUUAAUUAUUGCAUGAUAAUUGAUUGAAAGAUGCAACUGCAUCACUACCAGAUGGACCUGCGUUGUAUUAGCUAGUAGGUGAGGUAACGGCUCACCUAGGCGACGAUACAUAGCCGACCUGAGAGGGUGAUCGGCCACACUGGGACUGACACGGCCCAGACUCCUACGGGAGGCAGCAGUAGGGAAUCUUCGGCAAUGGACGAAAGUCUGACCGAGCAACGCCGCGUGAGUGAAGAAGGUUUUCGGAUCGUAAAGCUCUGUUGUAAGAGAAGAACGGGUGUGAGAGUGGAAAGUUCACACUGUGACGGUAUCUUACCAGAAAGGGACGGCUAACUACGUG